rnacentral:rRNA from 1 species
ACCGGCAAACGGGUGCGGAACACGUACGCAACCUUCCUUUAAGCGGGGGAUAGCCCAGGGAAACUUGGAUUAAUACCCCAUAAGACAGUGGGAUGGCAUCAUCUAGCUGUUAAAGCUCCGGCACUUAAAGAUGGGCGUGCGGCUGAUUAGGUAGUUGGCGGGGUAACAGCCCACCAAGCCGACGAUCAGUAACUGGUGUGAGAGCACGACCAGUCACACGGGCACUGAGACACGGGCCCGACUCCUACGGGAGGCAGCAGUAAGGAAUAUUGGUCAAUGGACGCAAGUCUGAACCAGCCAUGCCGCGUGGAGGAUGAAGUCCCUCUGGGUUGUAAACUUCUUUUAUUGGGGAAGAAACCGGACCUUUCUAGGACCGUUGACGGCCCCCCCCCCAAAAAACCCGCCUAACUACGUGCCACCAGCCGCGGUACUACGGAGGGUGCAAGCGUUAUCCGGAUUCACUGGGUUCAAAGGGUGCGUAGGCGGGCCGGUCACUCCAUGGUAAAUCUCCAGCUUAACUUGCAACUGCCGUUGA